UACGUAGGGUGCAAGCGUUGUCCGGAAUUAUUGGGCGUAAAGAGCUCGUAGGCGGUCUGUCGCGUCGGCUGUGAAAACUCGGGGCUCAACCCCGAGCCUGCAGCCGAUACGGGCAGACUAGAGUUCGGUAGGGGAGACUGGAAUUCUUGGUGUAGCAGUGAAAUGCGUAGAUAUCAAGAGGAACACCAGUGGCGAAGGCGAGUCCCUGGACAACUUCUGACGCUGAGGCACGAAAGCUAGGGGAGCAAACAGG
rnacentral:rRNA from 1 species